rnacentral:rRNA from 1 species
UAACGGCGAGUGAAGCGGCAACAGCUCAAAUUUGAAAUCUGGCCCUCGGGUCCGAGUUGUAAUUUGUAGAGGAUGCUUUUGGCGCGGUGCCUUCCGAGUUCCCUGGAACGGGACGCCUUAGAGGGUGAGAGCCCCGUACGGUUGGACACCAAGCCUCUGUAAAGCUCCUUCGACGAGUCGAGUAGUUUGGGAAUGCUGCUCUAAAUGGGAGGUAAAUUUCUUCUAAAGCUAAAUAUUGGCCAGAGACCGAUAGCGCACAAGUAGAGUGAUCGAAAGAUGAAAAGCACUUUGAAAAGAGGGUUAAAUAGCACGUGAAAUUGUUGAAAGGGAAGCGUUUGCGACCAGACCUUUUCCUGGCGGAUCAUCCGGUGUUCUCACCGGUGCACUUCGCCAGGUUGAGGCCAGCAUCGGUUUCCGCAGGGGGAUAAAAGCUUGGGGAAUGUGGCUCCUCCGGGAGUGUUAUAGCCCCUCGCAUAAUGCCCUUGCGGGGACCGAGGACCGC